rnacentral:rRNA from 1 species
GACGUAGGUGGCGAGCGUUGUUCGGAAUCACUGGGCAUAAAGCGCACGUAGGCGGCCAAGUCAGUCAGGUGUGAAAUACCUCGGCUCAACCGAGGAACUGCGCCUGAUACUGCUUGGCUUGAGGUCCGGAGGGGAGAGUGGAAUUCCCGGUGGAGCGGUGAAAUGCGUAGAGAUCGGGAAGAACGCCGGCGGCGAAAGCGACUCUCUGGUCGGAAUCUGACGCUGAGGUGCGAAAGCUAGGGGAGCAAACUGG